rnacentral:rRNA from 1 species
CACAAGCGGAGGAACAUGUGGUUUAAUUCGAUGAUACGCGAGGAACCUUACCUGGGCUUAAAUGGGGAGUGACAGCUGGUCGAAAGAUGGUUUUCUUCGGACACUCUUCAAGGUGCUGCAUGGUUGUCGUCAGCUCGUGCCGUGAGGUGUCGGGUUAAGUCCCAUAACGAGCGCAACCCUUACCGUUAGUUACCAUCAGGUUAAGCUGGGGACUCUAGCGGGACUGCCACCGUAAGGUGAGAGGAAGGUGGGGAUGACGUCAAAUCAGCACGGCCCUUAUGUCCAGGGCUACACACGUGUUACAAUGGCCGGUACAAAGGGCAGCUACUUCGCGAGAAGAUGCUAAUCUCGAAAGCCGGUCUCAGUUCGGAUCGAAGUCUGCAACCCGACUUCGUGAAGCUGGAUUCGCUAGUAAUCGCGCAUCAGCCAUGGCGCGGUGAAUACGUUCCCGGGCCUU